CAGGACACAGAAUCGCUGGUGG
rnacentral:miRNA from 1 species